CUUGAUGUUGCAAUGGUCUGUCUGACUCACAAUAAGCCGAAGUGAAAAGACGAGUUCUACUUCAUUCCACACAGAAGAGAUUCCGAGGCGGAUCGUAGCUGAACUAUCUCUAACAUUGGUGUCUGAUUUGUGCUGAUUUUCUGCACAGGGCAAAGAUGAAGGGAUCCCUGAAACUCGUGCUCCUGUUGGUCACCUUGGCGGUGCUGAUAUCGACUGCUGAUGCCCGUUCCCAGGGGCCGCGACGACAACAUUCGGGCCGCAGCCGGGCGCAAUCCUCGUGACUUGGCACCAGUUGUUGCCCAGGGGAAAGACAAGGCGGAGAAGAAGACUGGCAAUCUGCUCCUCGCCAGGCUGAAAAGGGCUCCUUGUAACUGUUGGGAACACCCUAGUUGCUGUAGCGGUUUGGCAUGAAGGAUGAAGAGACGCCAUCAUCCAGUGCUACGCAUGCUUCACAGCGCACAGACGUCAUCCAUGAAAAUUACUUUGUUUAUUUGUUUAUUAAAAUUUUCCAGCACAUGCAUGGAGGGGGAGGGAGAACAAGUGGGUCACCUUUACCAGCUCCCUCCCCUAAUUACAUCAAUAAAAACAGUAUUAAACAGCAUUGGAUUUAAA